UACGAAGGGGGCUAGCGUUGCUCGGAAUCACUGGGCGUAAAGCGCACGUAGGCGGAUUGUUAAGUCAGGGGUGAAAUCCUGGAGCUCAACUCCAGAACUGCCUUUGAUACUGGCGAUCUCGAGUCCGGGAGAGGUGAGUGGAACUGCGAGUGUAGAGGUGAAAUGCGCAGAUAUCAGGAAGAACACCCGUGGCGAAGGCGGCUCUCUGGGACGGUACUGACGCUGAGACGCGAAAGCGUGGGGAGCGAACAGG
rnacentral:rRNA from 1 species